CCAGGACUUCACCAAGGGGCAGGAGUGAGCAGAACCGGCCAAACCAGAGGAAAACAGGAGGCUACGCAGGGUGCCCACAGCUGCCCGGUGGCUGCACCUGGGGGAUGUGUUGUCAGCCUGUGGAUUUCCCUUGGGUGGGUCCUGGGCACCACCCUCCCUCGUACAGAAAGCCCUGCUGGGAGCCAGAGAGCCAGGAUCUGUUGCCUUUCUCCCGAAGCCCCCGGCUCAGUGGUGCCAGCAUUGAAGAAAUAUCUACCACAUAAAAAGCACACCGAGGAUCCACAGCUUUCUUUGAAAAAUAAUCUUUAAAUUUAUGCAAAUAAAUUAUCUAUGGCUACAGCUUCUCUUGAAUACCGCAGAAACCAAGAGUCAGAAACGUUAACAAGCCUAAGUUCUUGCAGCGAGGACAUGAUGGAACACGGUUUGAACACAGUUCCUUCCCUUCCAUCCACAGACUCUACUAUGAAAUACUUUCUACACAAAGUGCAAUGAUAGUGCCGACUGCAAUUUCUAAUUCUGCAAAGUGCAAUCUCCUGGAUUUCUUGUUCACUUUAGCAUUGAAACAAACCAAGACCUAUUCACAGGAUGAAGACAGGUAUGCCUCUAGAGUCCCCGCUGGAAGGCUGAAAAUGGCGUCCCCUUACCUGCUGUUGACCUGAUGGUGGAGGUGAUGUCAGAGGGUGUCAU
rnacentral:lncRNA from 1 species